AAAUCUUCGUGGAGAGCGAGAGAAGAGCGCGAGGAAAACCUAACAGAAUUGAAGAGGAGGAGCUGUUAUGGAAAAAAUGAUGUUCAAAGUUUAAAGAAUGUAGGAGAUAGAUGUUCAGUGAUAACAUUGACUAUCAUGUUUCAAAAUCGGAGAUUUCUUUCAUUACUGGUGGAAUGUGCUGUACCAAUAAGAGAUCGUAAUGAAAUUAUUCAGUGAAAGGAGAUGAAUUGAGGAUUAUUUCACUCAGCAAGUUGUAAAGCACAGACUUUCCCACCAUCCCUGUUCCCGCCUUCCUAGUCUGGGAGAAACUGGAUUAUUUCUCAGUAAUAAGAAUGUUGAUGCGAUAAGUGAAGUUAGACCAAAAGGGAUAAAGCCAGAUACGUGUCAAACAUGAUAUGGACAAGAUUGUUGCAGCUGAAUUCCUCAACUAACAAGGAAGACUGUUGCAGGUCGUUAAAGCAAAUAUGUGAUGUUCAACACAAGCUCAAGGAAUAGUACCUCAUCACAACUUGUUGCUGCCUGGCCACAAUAUUUACUUUAACAGCAAUGAAGGUGCUAGUUUCCCCUGAAAUGGGUGCUUCCAAUGAUGUACUGAUGCUUGGAGGAUUGAAUGACCAUCAGACUGGAACUAGGAAGAGGAAUGUGCAAUCCCCCUUUUUUUGAAACACCAUAAUUGUGAAAUGGACUGUACCAAUAGUGUAAACUGUUAU